GGGUUGUGAGGUUAAGCGACUAAGCGUACACGGUGGAUGCCCUGGCAGUCAGAGGCGAUGAAGGACGUGCUAAUCUGCGAUAAGCGUCGGUAAGGUGAUAUGAACCGUUAUAACCGGCGAUUUCCGAAUGGGGAAACCCAGUGUGUUUCGACACACUAUCAUUAACUGAAUCCAUAGGUUAAUGAGGCGAACCGGGGGAACUGAAACAUCUAAGUACCCCGAGGAAAAGAAAUCAACCGAGAUUCCCCCAGUAGCGGCGAGCGAACGGGGAGCAGCCCAGAGCCUGAAUCAGUGUGUGUGUUAGUGGAAGCGUCUGGAAAGGCGCGCGAUACAGGGUGACAGCCCCGUACACAAAAAUGCACAUGCUGUGAGCUCGAUGAGUAGGGCGGGACACGUGGUAUCCUGUCUGAAUAUGGGGGGACCAUCCUCCAAGGCUAAAUACUCCUGACUGACCGAUAGUGAACCAGUACCGUGAGGGAAAGGCGAAAAGAACCCCGGCGAGGGGAGUGAAAAAGAACCUGAAACCGUGUACGUACAAGCAGUGGGAGCACGCUUAGGCGUGUGACUGCGUACCUUUUGUAUAAUGGGUCAGCGACUUAUAUUCUGUAGCAAGGUUAACCGAAUAGGGGAGCCGAAGGGAAACCGAGUCUUAACUGGGCGUUAAGUUGCAGGGUAUAGACCCGAAACCCGGUGAUCUAGCCAUGGGCAGGUUGAAGGUUGGGUAACACUAACUGGAGGACCGAACCGACUAAUGUUGAAAAAUUAGCGGAUGACUUGUGGCUGGGGGUGAAAGGCCAAUCAAACCGGGAGAUAGCUGGUUCUCCCCGAAAGCUAUUUAGGUAGCGCCUCGUGAAUUCAUCUCCGGGGGUAGAGCACUGUUUCGGCAAGGGGGUCAUCCCGACUUACCAACCCGAUGCAAACUGCGAAUACCGGAGAAUGUUAUCACGGGAGACACACGGCGGGUGCUAACGUCCGUCGUGAAGAGGGAAACAACCCAGACCGCCAGCUAAGGUCCCAAAGUCAUGGUUAAGUGGGAAACGAUGUGGGAAGGCCCAGACAGCCAGGAUGUUGGCUUAGAAGCAGCCAUCAUUUAAAGAAAGCGUAAUAGCUCACUGGUCGAGUCGGCCUGCGCGGAAGAUGUAACGGGGCUAAACCAUGCACCGAAGCUGCGGCAGCGACACUAUGUGUUGUUGGGUAGGGGAGCGUUCUGUAAGCCUGUGAAGGUGUGCUGUGAGGCAUGCUGGAGGUAUCAGAAGUGCGAAUGCUGACAUAAGUAACGAUAAAGCGGGUGAAAAGCCCGCUCGCCGGAAGACCAAGGGUUCCUGUCCAACGUUAAUCGGGGCAGGGUGAGUCGACCCCUAAGGCGAGGCCGAAAGGCGUAGUCGAUGGGAAACAGGUUAAUAUUCCUGUACUUGGUGUUACUGCGAAGGGGGGACGGAGAAGGCUAUGUUGGCCGGGCGACGGUUGUCCCGGUUUAAGCGUGUAGGCUGGUUUUCCAGGCAAAUCCGGAAAAUCAAGGCUGAGGCGUGAUGACGAGGCACUACGGUGCUGAAGCAACAAAUGCCCUGCUUCCAGGAAAAGCCUCUAAGCAUCAGGUAACAUCAAAUCGUACCCCAAACCGACACAGGUGGUCAGGUAGAGAAUACCAAGGCGCUUGAGAGAACUCGGGUGAAGGAACUAGGCAAAAUGGUGCCGUAACUUCGGGAGAAGGCACGCUGAUAUGUAGGUGAGGUCCCUCGGAGCGACUUGCUCCCCUUCGCGGAUGGAGCUGAAAUCAGUCGAAGAUACCAGCUGGCUGCAACUGUUUAUUAAAAACACAGCACUGUGCAAACACGAAAGUGGACGUAUACGGUGUGACGCCUGCCCGGUGCCGGAAGGUUAAUUGAUGGGGUUAGCGCAAGCGAAGCUCUUGAUCGAAGCCCCGGUAAACGGCGGCCGUAACUAUAACGGUCCUAAGGUAGCGAAAUUCCUUGUCGGGUAAGUUCCGACCUGCACGAAUGGCGUAAUGAUGGCCAGGCUGUCUCCACCCGAGACUCAGUGAAAUUGAACUCGCUGUGAAGAUGCAGUGUACCCGCGGCAAGACGGAAAGACCCCGUGAACCUUUACUAUAGCUUGACACUGAACAUUGAGCCUUGAUGUGUAGGAUAGGUGGGAGGCUUUGAAGUGUGGACGCCAGUCUGCAUGGAGCCGACCUUGAAAUACCACCCUUUAAUGUUUGAUGUUCUAACGUUGACCCGUAAUCCGGGUUGCGGACAGUGUCUGGUGGGUAGUUUGACUGGGGCGGUCUCCUCCUAAAGAGUAACGGAGGAGCACGAAGGUUGGCUAAUCCUGGUCGGACAUCAGGAGGUUAGUGCAAUGGCAUAAGCCAGCUUGACUGCGAGCGUGACGGCGCGAGCAGGUGCGAAAGCAGGUCAUAGUGAUCCGGUGGUUCUGAAUGGAAGGGCCAUCGCUCAACGGAUAAAAGGUACUCCGGGGAUAACAGGCUGAUACCGCCCAAGAGUUCAUAUCGACGGCGGUGUUUGGCACCUCGAUGUCGGCUCAUCACAUCCUGGGGCUGAAGUAGGUCCCAAGGGUAUGGCUGUUCGCCAUUUAAAGUGGUACGCGAGCUGGGUUUAGAACGUCGUGAGACAGUUCGGUCCCUAUCUGCCGUGGGCGCUGGAGAACUGAGGGGGGCUGCUCCUAGUACGAGAGGACCGGAGUGGACGCAUCACUGGUGUUCGGGUUGUCAUGCCAAUGGCACUGCCCGGUAGCUAAAUGCGGAAGAGAUAAGUGCUGAAAGCAUCUAAGCACGAAACUUGCCCCGAGAUGAGUUCUCCCUGACUCCUUGAGAGUCCUGAAGGAACGUUGAAGACGACGACGUUGAUAGGCCGGGUGUGUAAGCGCAGCGAUGCGUUGAGCUAACCGGUACUAAUGAACCGUGAGGCUUAACCUUACAACGCCGAAGGUGUUU
rnacentral:rRNA from 1 species